rnacentral:rRNA from 1 species
GAGUUUGAUCGUGGCUCAGGAUGAACGCUGGCGGCGUGCCUAAUACAUGCAAGUCGAGCGAACGGACGAGAAGCUUGCUUCUCUGAUGUUAGCGGCGGACGGGUGAGUAACACGUGGAUAACCUACCUAUAAGACUGGGAUAACUUCGGGAAACCGGAGCUAAUACCGGAUAAUAUUUUGAACCGCAUGGUUCAAAAGUGAAAGACGGUCUUGCUGUCACUUAUAGAUGGAUCCGCGCUGCAUUAGCUAGUUGGUAAGGUAACGGCUUACCAAGGCAACGAUGCAUAGCCGACCUGAGAGGGUGAUCGGCCACACUGGAACUGAGACACGGUCCAGACUCCUACGGGAGGCAGCAGUAGGGAAUCUUCCGCAAUGGGCGAAAGCCUGACGGAGCAACGCCGCGUGAGUGAUGAAGGUCUUCGGAUCGUAAAACUCUGUUAUUAGGGAAGACAUAUGUGUAAGUAACUGUGCACAUCUUGACGGUACCUAAUCAGAAAGCCACGGCUAACUACGUCG